rnacentral:rRNA from 1 species
GUCUCAGGCCGUAUCAGCCUGAAGGCGCCCGAUCUCGUCUGAUCUCGGAAGCUAAGCAGGGUCGGGCCUGGGUUAGGAUCUUGGAUGGGGAGACCACCUGGGAAUCCCGGGUGCUCGAGGCU